AGUUCUUUAGGGUGGCUCAGAGCAGCUGUGACAGGGGCAAGGUGGUAUGUCCACUGUAAAGUAAGUUAGCACCCAUCACUUUUGACAUAUUAUUCUUUUUGAGGUUUUAGAGACAUUCUUCAAAGUAGAGACAUUUCCUUGUAUGAAUACAAGAAACAUAGUACAUAUCUAUGAGAGCCACCCACACUUCCUGGUUAACUAGAUUUUUUCAAAGUAAGUGUUAUUUAUGUAGCCAAGUAUAAUAUUUAAAUCAUUUAUUAUAACUUACCUCAAAUAUUUGUUUAUAAGUUGAGUUUAAUUGUGAACACAUUCAGUUUUGGUAUUAGUUAGGAUCUUAGCAGAAUUUUCUAAAGUGAAAUUUUAUGAAGAAAAGGUUAAUUCUGAUUGGUUGUAUCUGAGCUUUGGGGGUUUCAGGUAUAUUAUUAUUUUUUCUCUUUCCUGUCAGUAGAGUAACAUUUAUGCUAACCUGUAGACAGCCAUGGGUUUUCAGAUUCUUAGUGAAGAUUUAAAAAGAACAUAGAAAAUAUACUCCAAGCCACAGACCCCAUCUGUCACCUCAAGUGACUGUGACGGUUAACUGCAUCUUUGUACUCAGGGAAGCCAGCACCCUCAGGAGUUGGUAGAGUGAGGCUCCCAAAGCUCUCAGAAUCCCAUCCCACCAACCACCCAAAAUUUCUGUUUAUUCCACAGCUCUGGGUCACAGUCUUUAAUGAACUUCUAGCCAGAAAGUGUCUUGUGUGUUUUGUUUUCAAGGCUGCUUUGUAGAACCCUGUGUGCACCAAGGAACAUCACCACAGUGUGGCGGGACCCAAAGCCCCCAUGGGAACUCUCCCAUGAGCUCUGUAGCAAGGCAAGCACUUGCCUAAGGUGCUAGCUGUGUGUGUGUGUGUGUAGUGUGUGUAUGUGUGGGUUGUGUGUGUGUAUGUAUGUGUGUGUAUGUGUGUGUGUCCUAGAGAUCAGAACGUGACAGUAACUUGCUGCAGAGGUACAUGCUGAGGAUUCUAUGUAGUGAUAGAAACCAGAAUGUUGCAAGCCCCAGAAUAGCCUAGAAGCCAAGCACGCUAAUUCUGUUUUCCAGACUUGGGAGCAGUCUAAUGCGGUGUGGAAGGAUGUGGCUGGCAGGUGAGGCUAGUGGCCUGGUGUACCUUAUUUCUCUCUUCUGUCAUCUCAUCUUUACUGGUAGUCCAUGGUCUACUCUACUGUCAAAGGCAAAGAAAUGCUGCUGGCAUUGUCUGUCCCAGACUUCCUGUUGUGUUUCAACCAGAUUUGUGUUUGUCUGAAGAGGUUUAAUUUAAGCAGUUCAUUUGUACUCAGCCUUAAGAAGGGUCAAAUGUGACCAGGAGCUCACCUUAUUGCUGUUGGCUCUGGCAACAUUAAAUAUAAAAUGCCUUGGUGCUAAAGUAUUUGUAGAGGCAUGUUCCUCUUUGAAGUCAGUGUUUCAGAGCUUUGGGUUUGGAAACCUGGGGAUUCUCCCGAGAGAACAAGCCCCUCCCCCACCUCAUUUCCACAGUCCAGAAACUCUAUUCUGCAAAUCUGAGAAGUAUACAGGAGAAUCCUUUUCUAUGCAAGAGUCAGUGCUUUUGAUAUUUAGUUUAUCAAGAAUAAGGAGAUGCUAAAAAUAAUUUCAGAGAUAAAAACAUAUUUAGAUAAUCUUAUAUCUUCUGCAGAAAGUUUCACGCCCUGCGAGCUGCCCUUUAGCAUUGGAUUCGACACUGUUGUCCUUGACUGGCAGUCUACUCUAUAUGUAGAAAGUGAAGAAGUUAAUGUUAUUGAAAAUGAAAAUAAUGGUAAGGAUAUAUUAAACUAAACUGAGGAGUAAGACUCGACGGUGGGCAGUUGUCUUCAGCUAUAUACCUCUACCCCAAACCCAAAUGUUAAUCUAGGAGCAUGAAGCCCAAGGCCAGCCUUUAACUUUGUAGUGUAAGGAAAUGUGAAACUGUGUCAAACUGGUAUUAGGAUAUCUGUGAAGUGUGUGUGUGUGUGUGUGUGUGUCUUUCUGCCUGUCCUGUGUGUCUAUGUACUUCUCUGUAGAGGCAUGUUUGUGAUGAAAGGCUGCUUUGAGUUAUAAUGUAGAGUUUGAUUUUUGUGGUUUUUAGAACAAACAUUUAUUUGGAGACCUGGUAUGGUAUGGAGGGCCGUAUGACUUAUUUCUUUAUGUUUAAUGAAACUGAUUGUCAAAGGACUAAUAAACCUGGGUUUACAACAUCAUGAAUACUUGAUCAUUGAAAAUUAAGAAAAAUAAGUUGAAAAAAAAAUAAAGUGUGUUGGAUUG
rnacentral:lncRNA from 1 species